rnacentral:rRNA from 1 species
CCUACGGGAGGCUGCAGUAGGGAAUCUUCCACAAUGGGCGCAAGCCUGAUGGAGCAACACCGCGUGAGUGAAGAAGGGUUUCGGCUCGUAAAGCUCUGUUGUCGGAGAAGAACGUGCGUGAGAGUAACUGUUCACGCAGUGACGGUAUCCAACCAGAAAGUCACGGCUAACUACGUGCCAGCAGCCGCGGUAAUACGUAGGUGGCAAGCGUUAUCCGGAUUUAUUGGGCGUAAAGCGAGCGUAGGCGGUUGCUUAGGUCUGAUGUGAAAGCCUUCGGCUGAACCGAAGAAGGGCAUCGGAAACUGGGCGAGUUGAGUGCAGGAGAGGACAGUGGAACUCCAGGUGUAGCGGUGAAAUGCGUAGAUAUAUGGAGGAACACCAGUGGCGAAGGCGGCUGUCUGGUCUGUAACUGACGCUGAGGCUCGAAAGCGUGGGUAGCGAACAGGAUUAGAUACCCGAGUAGUC